UACUCUGUAGCUCAGUUGGUAGAGCAACAGAUUGAAGCUCUGUGUGUCGCUGGUUCGAUUCCUGCUAAAGUAC
rnacentral:tRNA from 1 species